AAGUCGUAACAAGGUUUCCGUAGGUGAACCUGCGGAAGGAUCAUUAACACAAGUAAAAAAACAUUUUUACAACACCCUAUUAUGAAUUUAAAUUUUUUUAAUUUUAAUUUUUUUAUAAAACUACAUUUAAUUUAUUUGACUAACAUUUUUUAAUUAAUUUAUUUAAAAUUUUAUAAAACAACUCUUAACAACGGAUAUCUUGGCUCUC
rnacentral:misc_RNA from 1 species